rnacentral:rRNA from 1 species
ACUCAAAUGAAUUGACGGGGACCCGCACAAGCGGUGGAUGAUGUGGAUUAAUUCGAUGCAACGCGAAGAACCUUACCUACCCUUGACAUGCCAGGAGCCCCGGUGAGAGCCGGGGGUGCCCGAAAGGGAGCCUGGACACAGGUGCUGCAUGGCUGUCGUCAGCUCGUGUCGUGAGAUGUUGGGUUAAGUCCCGCAACGAGCGCAACCCUUGUCACUAGUUGCCACGCAAGGGCACUCUAGUGAGACUGCCGGUGACAAACCGGAGGAAGGUGGGGAUGACGUCAAGUCCUCAUGGCCCUUAUGGGUAGGGCUUCACACGUCAUACAAUGGCGCAUACAGAGGGUUGCCAACCCGCGAGGGGGAGCCAAUCCCAGAAAGUGCGUCGUAGUCCGGAUUGUUCUCUGCAACUCGAGAGCAUGAAGUCGGAAUCGCUAGUAAUCGCGGAUCAGCAUGUCGCGGUGAAUACGUUCCCGGGUCUUGCACACACCGCCCGU